CAAAACAAACAUACAUUACCAUGUGAUAAUAAUGGAAAGAUAGUGAGAAACAAGACACUUCACACAUGAAUUAUUGCUUUCUCGAUGGAUAGGACAAGAACAACAUGCUUGGUUUUCUCAUUUUCAAGGUGUUUGGCAACAUGACGAGUGUACUCUUUGAAUAACUUGUCGAGUAUGCGUUCUCCAAAUUGGCUUAUGACCAGCGGCUCCAUAACUGCUCAUAGGACUUUUACUAUACUAUAAAAGAGAGCUAGAUGAUCUGUUAUGAAGUGAGAAGAAAGGCAGGUCCAGAAUGCCGUUGAUAGGCCUAAGUCCCUCACCUAGAGUCAUCGUCGGAGGAAAAUCGGUAACCUAACCUACAGGAGUAGAAAAUGAAGUAGGUCCAGGUAUGAUCAAGCUCUGUCGUGAGCCGGUGCUUGAACCGUGGUUGAGGCUGGCGAUGCCUCUCACAUUAGCUCCCGGCCGCUAAAAAUAAGGCUAGGCUUGCGAGCCCGCCUUCCCUAAUGAGAAAGAAAACUAGAACUAUUAUAGCCUUUACUAUAAGCUGGGAACUCUUUCUGACUAAAGAAAAAAGGAAGCAAAGCUAUAUUUCGAUCCAAGCCCUAGGUUUGGCUCACGCCCGGAAACCUAUAGUACAAGGGUCGGUGGAGGGGACCCUGAGACCUAUGACUUAGCAAUAUUUUCAUCGCUCCUAAUACUGUUAUGCACAUCAUCACCAUCUGAGUCAUCAUAGGGAUCCCAAUUUAUCUCAAAUACUUUAACAUGAUUCACGUUGAACAACCCAACUUGCUUCACUAUCGCCUCCCCUUCACCAGCCGAUGGUGAGUAGAUCGGAAGAUAUAAUGACUCAUGUUUUCUUUCUCCACAAGACCAUGCAAGUCCAAUUAUUUACUACAAAUUAUAGCCAUUACCUAGUGGCUAGUAUGAGCAGAAAUCGUCGUAGGGAGUUGUCUCUUACCUAGAGUCCCUAGACUCUAUCGUCGUGAUUAUUGGAAGGUCUAAUAUGAGCAGGAAUCCAGAAGUACAAAUAUGGAAAAGAUAAUAUUGGAAUAGGAGAUACAAGUGAGAGUCCUAAAAAAUAGGACAAAAUCUCAAUAUAUAAGAUAGAGUUCUAAGUAGAUCAGAUUAGAUCCUAAGGCAUACAUGUAAUUAUAGGUAGUUGGAUUCUUAUACAACCAGGUCACUAAACUAGACCUAUUAUAUAACCUACUCGUAUUCACUCUUGUAAUUUCCCCCCUCCUUGGACUAAAAAAGGAGAGGCGAGGGAGCCCUCGAGAAUGCAGACCAGAAUAUAAUAGAUCAAUAGCUAUAAUUCUCAAUUCUCGAUUCUCGACAAAUAGAACAUAAUAGAUGUAGGGUAUUAUCUCACGAUGAGAGCUUGAACCAGCCUAAAUUUUGUGUCUCAUGCGCAUUAUACCUUCAAUUCUCUAUCUCGUUACCUACCCCAUAAAUUCACAACUGAGAAAUCCACAACAGAGGGAUCAGAAGCCCACGCCUAUGAAGACUCUGAGCAGAAGGAGUUUACUUUAAGAGGCAUGUUAUAUCCUUGAUCAUAUUGUCUUUACCCAUAUAAUAUUUACUAUUAUGUUCGCAUAUAUGCAUUUGACAAUUAGGUUAACCUGAUCGGACCUAUUAGGUGACGUCUAGUUUUGUUUUCCCUAUAUCUUAUUUACACCUAGUUUAAUUAUUAUUGGGUAGACAUGCUAGUUCUCUACAUGGUUAAUGGGAUAAUGUUAUAUAACAAAGACGAAUAUUAUUUUAGUCACGUGGAUAUUGUUUUAUUAUUGUGGUAUUAUUUUAUAUUUAAUUCAAAUAUGGAGCGACAACCCAAGAAAAAAGUACAACCAUAAUGACUAUUAUGGCUCUAGCUGAUUAAUUAGGGAAACUAAUAUCGGUUAGCCUUAUCAAAAGUGCAAGAGGGGAGGCAUUGCUCAAGUAUAGAUCAUUUCUCGUACUGAUCUGCUCUAUGGCAGCUUUUCGGUGGAGGGAGAUCUAUACCACCUCGACCUAAAACCUUAGCAGGUUACCUCAUACUAGUGGAUCUUUAUAAAGACCUCAUAUUGAACCCUACCAUGCUGCCUUGGAAGAGGUGCAUAGGAGUCAUGACUCCUGGUAAAUAGGUAACACGACUUGUGGGUAAAGAUAUACAACCUCGUAGAGUGUAGAAGUGAUAUAUCAACCAUGCUCACGGUCAGAGCGGCUUGGAUCCUCACAUGAUUAAACUAUGGAAGUAAAUUAAAUGUAUUUGUAGGUGGUUUAUUUAUUGUUGUUAUUUCAUUAAUGAUAUUUUAUUUAAUUGGUAACUGCUAAUAAAAUUUUGACUAGCAUAAUUAAAAUGUGGGAUGCUACAACCUUAGACUUAUUCGUGGUAAGCCUUACACUACACUUUUUCUACAUACUUGUUGUAUACCAAACAUAAGUGUACAUAUUAUUGCUAAAUUCGCUGCUUAGAACAAGGUCAGCAACAAGAUGACUACUAUGAAUAUUUUAAAGAGUUCUAGGCCUUCGAUGCUCUAGUCAACCAGCGUGGAUAGUCGUCGUUGUCUUCAUUUAGUUUCUUUUGUUUAUUUUUUUUAGUUUAUGAAAUUGGUUUCUAGAUGCACUAAAGUCAUCAUAUGCGUGUAAUUUGAUCCUGGCGUACAUAUGAGAUGCAUUUGUAUUUGUUUUCAAAAUCGGGUGUGCCAAAGUUGGCCACGACCAUGGUUUCAGGAAGGAGAGCUAUAUAUACUUCUCUACUGGCCUCCUCAAGAACUGGCUUAAUCUAAAACAUAGCUUUGUUAUAUUUCCAUCCAACAGAAACAUGUGUUCUACAUGGCUUGAUAUAUUAUGAUACAAAAACAAACGAAUGGAUCGAUCAUAAAAGGAGCAAUUUAUUUGUAUUAAUUCCUUGUACAGGAGUGUUGCCUGAAAUCACCUUAAAAUUCAGGCAUCUAAAAUAUAGGAGAAGCGACAAAGAAAACAACAAAAACACCAUGACAUUCAAUACACCAGCUAGUGACACAAACGUGCACAUUCAAAACAAACAUAUAUUACCAUGUGAUAAUAAUGGAAAGAUAUAUAGUGAGAAACAAGACACUUCACACAUGAAUUAUUGCUUUCUCGAUGGAUAGGACAAGAACAGCAUGCUUGGUUUUCUCAGUCUCAAGGUGUUUGGCAACACGGCGAGCGUACUCUUUGAAUAACUUGUCGAGUAUGCGUUCUCCAAAUUGGCUUGCGACCAGCGGCUCCAUAACUGCGCGUAGGCACUUAGCAACAUUUUCACC
rnacentral:lncRNA from 1 species